AAUCUGUAAAGAAAUCAUUGUGCGAAUUUUAAUAAGCUAGUCCAGAAAGCUGACAGGAAACUGUUCAAGUCAUAACAUAGCAUGUUUUUUACUUGUACAGUUUUCUUCAUACAACAAAAUAUGUACGGUAGUUCUUACUCCUAUCAUCUUUUUUUAAUCAAAGUCCAUCUAACAAUUUGAUAAAAAACCGCAUUUCUAUUGAACAGUAAAGAUAGAAAAGUUUGUAUAUAAAAAAAAAAUAAAACGAACAUAUCCAUUAUCAUUAAACUCCAAAAAAUAUAAAAGCCAAUAACCCUACUAGAGCAUGCUGACAAUUUUAUCAAGGGCAGCCAGUAAUUCUUCAUCUUGCCAACGUUUGCCAACAAGUUGCAAACUUACGGGAGCAUCCAAAUAGUCUUCAGGGGAAUAUGUUUCAUAAUUUGCUGCGUCUUGUUCAUUCAUCGGUAUGUAUGACUCAUCUUUAACAUCGAGCUUAGGAUCAACAGUGGUCACAGGAAAUACUACGGCAGGCAAAUCAAGCAAGUUCCAAACAGAUGUGUAUGUCCAAUAUUUUGCCUCCCCUAAUUUAGGAGCAGGGCUAGGUCCCACUGGAGUCAGUAAAACGUCAACUCCAUAUGCUUGAAGGUGCUUCAAAUAACGAUUGCGAUAUUCAUCUCUAGCAGCAGUCAAUUUCCAUACGGCCGUAAUGUCAUGAGGUUUAACAUUGGGUUGAUGCAUAAUCCAUUCAGUUAAAGGCAAAAUUGGUUCUCCCACCUUGUUAAACAAAUCGUAAUAAACCUUUCCGCCAUCAAGCCAGUACAUUUCGCUAAUAAGAUCCCAUGAAUAUUUGUGAUCCAAAGGUUCUACAUCUACUAAAUCAAAAUCGGGAUUUUUAGAAAGUUGAUCAAUAGCCAUUUGCAUGGCUCGAGCAACAGGCGGUUGAGGAUUCACAACAUUGUCACUACGCAUUAUACCAACUUUGAGCGUUUUAGGAGGGGCAACUGAACGCCAGGGCAUUGGUAACAACGAUGCAUCAUCAAGCCAAGGUUGGCUAUCGAUACAAGCUUUCAUAAAGAGAUUCAUGUCACGAACGCUGCGACCAAGUGGACCCACUACGCCGAGAAUGGUCUCUUGACCACUAACAGCGCCUUGGCAACCCUUGCGUGAUAAUCUCAAGGUACUAGGGCGAAGGCCAAAAAGCCCAUUGUUAGCGGCAGGAGACCUAAUCGACCCUCCAAUAUCACUACCUAUGCCAAGCACCGACGCCUUAAUGCCUAACAAAGCACCUUCUCCGCCAGAGGAACCACCUGGUGUGAGCUUUCGAUUGAAAGGGUUGACGGUUACACCCGUAAGGUUACUAGAUGUUUCCAAAUGCAUGAUAGCUUGAGGCUGGGGGGUUCUGCAAUAGAAAACAGCACCAGCUUUGCGAACGGUGGCAACUAGAUCACUAUCUUUCUCAGCAAUAAUGUUGGCUUUCGCUAGAAAACUAGCUGUAGCAGUGUGAUUUUUGAUAGAAAUAUGCUCUUUCACCGAAACUGGCACUCCAUGAAGGGGGCCGACCAAAGAUCCCGUCUUUGCAUAGUACUCGUCAAGCUCAGCGGCCCUAGCUAAAGCUUCCUCGUAGAAGAGUUCAUUCACACAAUUGACAAGUUGUUGAGCAAUGGCUGCACGCUUACAAAAUGCAGUGACUAACUCCACACUCGUGACUUUUCUAUCCUUAAUCAUUUCGGCCAAUGCUGUCGCAUCAUAUUUUUCAGUGAGUUCGAUCUCCUUCGGUGUAAGGAGACCACACUCACUUGGAAUUUUGGUAACAUUCAAAACGGUAUCCUUAGGUAGUGUUUUAAUUUUGAAAGGUUCAGGAAUACUACCAUCUCGAUGGGCACAGUAUUUGGCAGCAAUUUGUCUCCAAUCGAUCGUCAUUGUGAAUAGGAAACUGUUGGAUUGAAUGAAAGUAAAUUAAAAUGCUCAGUUGAAUGUAUGGAUGAUGAAGUAUAUAUAAACCAAUAGCACAUGCAACGUUGCAAGCAAUGGAUUUUAGUCAAAGAGGCCAAGGAAUACUGACAAAAGUCAAACCAAUAUCAAAAAUUGUUGAAUUAACAAAGCACAAUUUCAGAUAUACUUCCUACGGGUUAGGAACCUAUCUCUUUAAAUAGUGCUUUUCUCAUACUCAGUAUCUAUAAGCUUGACGCAUCUUUGCCAUUCAAAUGAUAAUCAAGUACCAAACGUAUUAUGGAUAACGGCCAACUUUUCAAUGAACUUAGUUAUCCAGAACCUUUGCCCGCCUAUAUAUUUUACCCGAUCGCUAGAUACUCCACAACCCUUGUCGCAUUUUAUCUACUGUACAACGUGGUCAGAUUAAGCAAACAAGUUACUUCAAAGGAGUAAACGGAGCUUCGGUAUUUGAGAUGCUAUCCAGCAAAAUGAUAAAGAAAAUGUAGAAUUAUCGGCGAGUAAGGGUAAAUAAUCGGAGGAAACUAGAAAAGUCUUUCUACUUUUCGGUUGAAGAUGGUAUGAAUUUGCAAUUAGAAGAAGUCCAAUGAACUGUGCUGUAAGAAGCGAACAGGUUGUCCGUAUCUAACUAAAAACGGAAACCAAAAAAUGUUGUAAAAUGCAAAUGAGUGAUUCCGGGGGUUUCUUUACAAAUAGUAGACUAAAGGGACCUUGAGUCAUGAUUGCAGACAGGGUUUUAUCAAUAACAAAUGCGCAAACACAGCAUGCGACGAUAAAGAUGAAGCAGCGUGUAUGUUUAGAAUGAAGAAUCGAAAUUUAAUCAUGGUAAACUAAUUUUUAUCAGUAUAGUUAAUACAAAGUUGCAAGAUUGACCGGCUGACUCUGGUUGUGAAAAGCACAUUCAAAGAAAUGAUAACACAUUUCAAUAUGAAAAUUCAAUCAGAUUUUGUUGAUAUAAACAAAUAUAAAAAAAAGAGUACUCUUUCUAUGCUUUCCGUCGUAACUCUCAAAAACAGAAAAUUCCACUUUUUCAAAAAUUAAAUAAAUAAAUGUAAUUUCAGUUCUUUGAAAACUAACUUCUCUCAUUCAAAACACCAAAGACGCACUUUGAUUGCUUCUGGUAUUUUAUCACAAUCACCUUGACUGUACACCCUUUCAUUGAGACAUGCUCGUUGAUGUGUUAUGGCGUAGCAAACUAUGACUUAGUUAUCUUAAUGAUGAUGCUUUAUGAAGCCAAAUCACAUGAGUUUUAGAUUAGCAUAUUUCAGCUAGACUUUUCUCCUUGAACCAGUAUCAUCAAUACGGGGGAAUUAGAGUAUGUCAAUAACUGAUAGCUUUAUUUCGAAUUCUUCAAUUUUCGACCUUCACCUUUUUAAGUAUGCGAUAAUCAAAUUGUCGCUUAACCUCCACAAAAUCUCAACCAUUUUUGCAUCAGUUUACUUUUUUGAGCAAAAAUUACCUUAACUGCGUUCAGUGCGUAGAAAACCAGAAAUUUCUUACGGUGGUACGGAAACCAUCGUUAUCGACAAAUAUCCAACUUGAAUGAAGGCUUUCCAACUAAAUUAUUUGAC
rnacentral:lncRNA from 1 species